GAUCGGAAUUCGUAUUAGACGAGAAGAGUUCGAUGCCCGUGGCUCCUCGAACGCGCGCAGGGACGAGCGUAGGGCGCGUUCGAGUAAUAUACCGGGCUCGCUUCUGUCAAUGAUGCGUAGCUGAGAGGUCACAGUUAUACUGAAACAAGGAUAACCGCGCUAAUGCGCGCCAGCAGUAGAGAAUUUUGGGCAAUCAACGAAAGUUGGACCCAGAGAUGUCGCCUAAGGGUUUGCGGGCGGGCCCGAAUCUAGGGCCCGCCGAUCAAAGGUCGACCCCGCCAACCUUCGCCUUUGGGUCCGUCAAAAAGACGUGCCAGCAGACGCGGUUAUACGUCUGGACUGAGUUUUAACCAAAAAACAGGCGUAAAGUGUGAAGAGGGUGGGUGUGUGUUUUGGGGGGUCGGGCCGGCUCGCGAGCCCCUUACCUGACCUGUGUUAGGGGGGCCCUAGCCGGUCCGGUGAAUCUUUUCGGGCCCUCGCUAUACAGAGAAAAAAAAGGUAAUUGGUACUUUUAGGUAUUGGUGAAAUAAUUCAAUCUAAAAUGGAACACCGGAGACGAAGGUUAAUUACCAAAAAGUUCUGUCACUUUUUUUCACGAAAACAUAGGGAACAAACAGGAUUAGAUACCCUGGUAGUCUAUUGUUGUAAAAGCUGAUCUAUCGCGGCAUAAUUUCCAUGUCGCCUUGAUAACUCGGAAAGAUUCCGCCUGAAUAGUACGACCGCAAGGUUGAAAUUCAAAAAAUUUGGCGGUUCACUAAUCCAAUUAGAGGAGCGUGUAGUUUAAUGCGAUGAUCCGCGAAUAACCUUACCAGAACUUGAAUAAAAGGAAUCCGCGCCUUUGGCGCCGGGCCCGCCCCAGUCGAACCGAGAUUUCGGACCCUUCUAUCCUUUUACAGGUAUCGCACGGCCGUCGUCAGUUUGUGUUGUGAAAUUUUUUAACGAACUUAACCCCUUUUUGGUCAAAAAUGGGGCCCCCGGAUUACAAAAGGGGCUAAAAAUUACGGGGCCGGCGCCAAGGCGCCCCUUUUCCCCAUUUUUAUCUAUUUUUUGGGAUGACGUCAGGUCUUCAUGGUCCAAAUGUUUUGGGGCGCGGGGCCCGCCUUCGGCGUUGGCCCCUGAUGCGCUACAAUCUUUUUAACAAUUUUUAAUUUUUUUUGGGGGACGAUCGGAUCGCACCCCGUUUUUAACCUAAAAGUUCGGAGAAAGGUCUGAAAGGUCCUUUUGAAGUUGGAUUUAAUAGUAAUCGUAAAGUAGAGCGUUACGGUGAAUAUGGCUCUAGUGUUCGUACAAAUCGCCCGUCAACUCGACCGAGUUUUAAAUGUUAAAAGAGACUUAAAAGCUUUUUAGUAUAUAUGGCCGCCGAGUCCACGACCGAGGGAAUCCAUCGGAUCGCGACGAGAGGGUUAGUGGGGUAGCCAAAGUUGCCAAACUUUCUGAGGCGCCGCCCCGAUUUCUUUUUUUUUGGGGACCUUUUUUCGGCUGGCGGGAUGCGGCGCUUGCGCGCUCCGGGUCCCCCACCGAUCCGCACUUCUGAAAGGCAAAGGGAUUUUGAGACUUUUGAAAUUAGGUUGAGUAAGUCGUAACAAAGCAAGAGUACUGGAAAGUGUUCUUGACUAAU
rnacentral:rRNA from 1 species